GGAUGUGUAACUCAGUUGGCAGAGUAGCAGACUCUUAAUCUGAAGGUCGCAGGUUCGAUGCCUGUCACAUCCACCA
rnacentral:tRNA from 1 species